GACGAACGCUGGCGGCGUGCUUAACACAUGCAAGUCGAACGGAAAGGCCCUGCUCGCAGGGUGCUCGAGUGGCGAACGGGUGAGUAACACGUGGGUGAUCUGCCCCUUAUUUUGGGAUAAGCCUGGGAAACUGGGUCUAAUACUGGAUAGGACCAUGCUGUAGGUGGUGUGGUGGAAAGAUUAGUUUCGGUAAGGGAUGAGCUCGCGGCCUAUCAGCUUGUUGGUGGGGUAAUGGCCUACCAAGGCGUCGACGGGUAGCCGGCCUGAGAGGGUGGACGGCCACAUUGGGACUGAGAUACGGCCCAGACUCCUACGGGAGGCAGCAGUGGGGAAUAUUGCACAAUGGGCGCAGGCCUGAUGCAGCGACGCCGCGUGGGGGAUGACGGCCUUCGGGUUGUAAACUCCUUUCAGCCAUGACGAAGCCCUUGUGGUGACGGUAGUGGUAGAAGAAGCACCGGCUAACUACGUG
rnacentral:rRNA from 1 species